GAGUUUGAUCAUGGCUCAGAGCGAACGCUGGCGGCAGGCCUAACACAUGCAAGUCGAACGAACUCUUCGGAGUUAGUGGCGGACGGGUGAGUAACACGUGGGAACGUGCCUUUUGGUUCGGAAUAACUCAGGGAAACUUGUGCUAAUACCGAAUGUGCCCUUCGGGGAAAGAUUUAUCGCCAUUAGAGCGGCCCGCGUCUGAUUAGCUAGUUGGUGAGGUAAAGGCUCACCAAGGCGACGAUCAGUAGCUGGUCUGAGAGGAUGAUCAGCCACAUUGGGACUGAGACACGGCCCAAACUCCUACGGGAGGCAGCAGUGGGGGAUCUUGCGCAAUGGGCGAAAGCCUGACGCAGCCAUGCCGCGUGAAUGAUGAAGGUCUUAGGAUUGUAAAAUUCUUUCACCGGGGACGAUAAUGACGGUACCCGGAGAAGAAGCCCGGCUAACUUCGUGCCAGCAGCCGCCGUAAC
rnacentral:rRNA from 1 species